rnacentral:sRNA from 15 species
GUUGGCUCUUUUUUUUUUAGGACUUUGGUUGUUUUAGUUUCAGGUUUGCGGCAGAUUUGGUUUGGUAAUAGAGUGUCAUCAAUCAAGUUAGGUUUAAAGAAAAUUGGUGUGAAAAAGAAAAAGUGAUUUCAAUUGUUUUUACGCCAAUUGUAAUUUUAUUUUAUCUGCAGUUUUAUUUUUUGCUGGUUUGGUGGUAAGGUGUCACAUGCAAUGGCUGUUGCGCUUGAUGUCUACAACUUGUUUGCGUAUUUACUGACAUUGAUUGUUAUGUAAAUAGUUAUUUUGUACGUAUGUAUGUAUGUAUGUAUGUAUGAUAGAUUUGGUGGUAAGGUGUCAGUAAUCAUGAUAAAUUUGGUGGUAAGGUGCCAGUAAUCAAGGACCAGCUUAGAAUUUGUCGACAAAGUUGGGUGAAUCCAUGUAUGACGUGAGGGUCCUUCGCCACAUUUUAAUGCAGAUUUAUUCCAAUGUAAAUGGUUUUUCAAGCGUGUCUCUUGGAAGGGCUGUUACUCCUGAUGUCUACAAAUUGUUUGAGUUUUUCUAUUUUCAGAUUCAUGAUAAAUUUGGUGGUAAGGUGCCAGUAAUCAAGGACCAGCUUAGAAUUUGUCGACAAAGUUGGGUGAAUCCAUGUAUGACGUGAGGGUCCUUCGCCACAUUUUAAUGCAGAUUUAUUCCAAUGUAAAUGGUUUUUCAAGCGUGUCUCUUGGAAGGGCUGUUACUCCUGAUGUCUACAAAUUGUUUGAGUUUUUCUAUUUUCAGAUUCAUGAUAAAUUUGGUGGUAAGGUGCCAGUAAUCAAGGACCAGCUUAGAAUUUGUCGACAAAGUUGGGUGAAUCCAUGUAUGACGUGAGGGUCCUUCGCCACAUUUUAAUGCAGAUUUAUUCCAAUAUUCAUGAUAAAUUUGGUGGUAAGGUGUUAAUAAUCAAGGACCAGCUUAGGAUUUGUCGAGCA